rnacentral:rRNA from 1 species
UACAGAGGGGGGCAAGCGUUGUUCGGAAUUACUGGGCGUAAAGGGCGCGUAGGCGGCCUUCUAAGUCGAACGUGAAAUCCCCGGGCUCAACCCGGGAACUGCGUCCGAUACUGGAAGGCUUGAAUCCGGGGAGAGGGAUGCGGAAUUCCAGGUGUAGCGGUGAAAUGCGUAGAUAUCAGGAGGAACACCGGUGGCGAAGGCGGGUCUCUGGGCAACAACUGACGCUGAGGAGCGAAAGCGUGGGGGAGCGAACAGG